GUUAGACGCCUAAAGACUUUAUAGUUCUAUUUAUAGUUUUUAUUCCGAGUAUCUCUUUUAAUUAGCUCAUUCUUUCAUAUGUUGAAUACGUUUUUAGUUAUUGUGUAAGAGAUGUUAAUCAGAAUUUUUAUUACGCUUCCGUAUUUAAAGAUUUUUAAUACAUACAUUUUCAUUCAAAUUUCUGGGGCUGUUACAGUUGGUAUUAGAGCCGCGUUCCUUAGACUCAUC
rnacentral:lncRNA from 1 species